UAGAUUGUGAACAUUAAUAUUUAAAAUGGGUAAAUUAUUACACAAAUAAUGUGUAAUAACUUAUUUAUCUUUAAUUUGGGCAGAUCUGCUCCUCCUCCAGUGAAGCUCCUCCCACAACAAGCACACCUUCAGUGAAGCUCCUCCCACAACAAGCACACCUUCAGUGAAGCACCUCCCACAACAAGCACACCUUCAGUGAAGCUCCUCCCACAACAAGCACACCUUCAGUGAAGCACCUCCCACAACAAGCACAUCUUCAGUGAAGCUCCUCCCACAAUAAGCACACCUUCAGUGAAGCUCCUCCCACUGCAGUUCAGCAAUAAAUGCUGGAAUAUUCCCAUCAGUCUACAAGUGAAGACGAGCAUCAGAGCAUCAGGAAGAAGUGAAAUCUGCAGAGACAGAGUUUAUUGAAGGACAGAGAGAACAUGAGAGAUCCAGAACCCUGCAGAAUGAAGCACACUGAAGAACAAACAGACAAGGCUUAAAUUAGUCCCUAAAGGCUAAAAUGCAUGGCUUUACUGAAAAGAAGAAAAGACAAGAAAAGGUUCACCUGCACUCAGUGUGGAAAGAGUUUCACAUACAAACAGCAUCUCAGUGUUCACAUGAGGAUCCACACUGGAGAGAAACCGUUCACAUGUGAUCAGUGCGAGAAGAGUUUCACACAACAAGGACACCUUCAGAGACACAUGAUCAUCCACACUGGAGAGAAACUGCAUGAAUGUGAUCAAUGCGGUAAAACAUUUUUGAGGGCUUCAGUCCUGAAGGAGCACCUGAACAUUCAUACGAAGGAGAAACCACAUUCAUGUUCUUUGUGUGGAAAGAGUUUUUCACAUCUGCAGAGUUUAAAAGUUCAUCAGAAGAUACACACCGGUGUGAGAUCAUAUGUGCUUUGAGUACGCAGUAGUGAAGCUCUUCUGUGGAUCUUCACCUG